rnacentral:rRNA from 1 species
GACGAACGCUGGCGGCGUGCCUAAUACAUGCAAGUAGAACGCUGAAGGAGGAGCUUGCUCUUCUGGAUGAGUUGCGAACGGGUGAGUAACGCGUAGGUAACCUGCCUGGUAGCGGGGGAUAACUAUUGGAAACGAUAGCUAAUACCGCAUAAAAUUGAUUAUUGCAUGAUAGUCAAUUAAAAGUUGCAAUUGCAUCACUACCAGAUGGACCUGCGUUGUAUUAGCUAGUUGGUGAGGUAACGGCUCACCAAGGCAACGAUACAUAGCCGACCUGAGAGGGGGAUCGGCCAAACUGGGACUGAGACACGGCCCAGACGCCUACGGGAGGCAGCAGUAGGGAAUCUUCGGCAAUGGACGGAAGUCUGACCGAGCAACGCCGCGUGAGUGAAGAAGGUUUUCGGAUCGUAAAGCUCUGUUGUAAGAGAAGAACGAGUGUGAGAGUGGAAAGUUCACACUGUGACGGUAUCUUACCAGAAAGGGACGGCUAACUACGUG